CACGGAGUUAGCCGGUCCUUAUUCCUACAGUACCGUCAGUCUGGGACACGUCCCAGGGUUUCUUCCUGUAUAAAAGCAGUUUACACACCAUAGAUGCUUCAUCCUGCACGCGGCAUGGCUGGAUCAGGCUUGCGCCCAUUGUCCAAUAUUCCUCACUGCUGCCUCCCGUAGGAGUCUGGUCCGUGUCUCAGUACCAGUGUGGGGGAUCUCCCUCUCAGGACCCCUACCCAUCAUCGCCUUGGUAAGCCGUUACCUUACCAACUAGCUAAUGGGACGCAUGCUCAUCUUUUACCGUUGUGACUUUAACUGCUGGACGAUGCCGUCCUGCAGUGCUAUGGGGCAUUAAUCCAAAUUUCUCUGGGCUAUUCCCCUGUAAAAGGCAGAUUGCAUACGCGUUACGCACCCGUGCGCCGGUCUCAAAGGAGCAAGCUCCUUCUACCCCUCGACUUGCAUGUGUUAAGCCUGCCGCUAGCGUUCAUCCUGAGCCA
rnacentral:rRNA from 1 species